rnacentral:rRNA from 1 species
GAUGAACGCUGGCGGCGUGCCUAAUACAUGCAAGUCGAGCGAACGGACGAGAAGCUUGCUUCUCUGAUGUUAGCGGCGGACGGGUGAGUAACACGUGGAUAACCUACCUAUAAGACUGGGAUAACUUCGGGAAACCGGAGCUAAUACCGGAUAAUAUUUUGAACCGCAUGGUUCAAAAGUGAAAGACGGUCUUGCUGUCACUUAUAGAUGGAUCCGCGCUGCAUUAGCUAGUUGGUAAGGUAACGGCUUACCAAGGCAACGAUGCAUAGCCGACCUGAGAGGGUGAUCGGCCAAACUGGAACUGAGACACGGUCCAGACUCCUAAGGGAGGCAGCAGUAGGGAAUCUUCCGCAAUGGGCGAAAGCCUGACGGAGCAACGCCGCGUGAGUGAUGAAGGUCUUCGGAUCGUAAAACUCUGUUAUUAGGGAAGAACAUAUGUGUAAGUAACUGUGCACAUCUUGACGGUACCUAAUCAGAAAGCCACGGCUAACUACGUG